rnacentral:rRNA from 1 species
GACAGAGGUGCCAAGCGUUAGGCGGAAUCACUGGGCUUAAAGCGUGUGUAGGCGGAUCGUUAAGUACCUUGUGAAAUCCCACGGCUCAACCGUGGAACUGCUGGGCAUACUGGCGAUCUUGAGCCACCUAGGGGCGAGCGGAACAAGCGGUGGAGCGGUGAAAUGCGUAGAUAUCGCUUGGAACGCCAAUGGUGAAAACAGCUCGCUGGGGGUGUGCUGACGCUGAGACACGAAAGCCAGGGGAGCGAACGGG